AACGAACGCUGGCGGCAUGCCUAACACAUGCAAGUCGAACGAGACCUUCGGGUCUAGUGGCGCACGGGUGCGUAACGCGUGGGAAUCUGCCCUUGGGUUCGGAAUAACAGCGAGAAAUUGCUGCUAAUACCGGAUGAUGACGUAAGUCCAAAGAUUUAUCGCCCAAGGAUGAGCCCGCGUAGGAUUAGCUAGUUGGUGAGGUAAAGGCUCACCAAGGCGACGAUCCUUAGCUGGUCUGAGAGGAUGAUCAGCCACACUGGGACUGAGACACGGCCCAGACUCCUACGGGAGGCAGCAGUGGGGAAUAUUGGACAAUGGGCGAAAGCCUGAUCCAGCAAUGCCGCGUGAGUGAUGAAGGCCUUAGGGUUGUAAAGCUCUUUACCCGGGAUGAUAAUGACAGUACCGGGAGAAUAAGCUCCGGCUAACUCCGUGCCAGCAG
rnacentral:rRNA from 1 species